rnacentral:rRNA from 1 species
UAGGGAAUCUUCGGCAAUGGGGGGAACCCUGACCGAGCAACGCCGCGUGAGUGAAGAAGGUUUUCGGAUCGUAAAGCUCUGUUGUUAAGGAAGAACGAGUGUGAGAAUGGAAAGUUCAUACUGUGACGGUACUUAACCAGAAAGGGACGGCUAACUACGUGCCAGCAGCCGCGGUAAUACGUAGGUCCCGAGCGUUGUCCGGAUUUAUUGGGCGUAAAGCGAGCGCAGGCGGUUAGAAAAGUCUGAAGUGAAAGGCAGUGGCUCAACCAUUGUAGGCUUUGGAAACUGUUUAACUUGAGUGCAGAAGGGGAGAGUGGAAUUCCAUGUGUAGCGGUGAAAUGCGUAGAUAUAUGGAGGAACACCGGUGGCGAAAGCGGCUCUCUGGUCUGUAACUGACGCUGAGGCUCGAAAGCGUGGGGAGCGAACAGGAUUAGAUACCCUGGUAGUCCACGCCGUAAACGAUGAGUGCUAGGUGUUAGGUCCUUUCCGGGACUUAGUGCCGCAGCUAACGCAUUAAGCACUCCGCCUUGGGGAGUACGACCGCAAGGUUGAA